GAGUAACACGUGGGUAACCUACCCAUCAGAGGGGGAUAACACUUGGAAACAGGUGCUAAUACCGCAUAACAGUUUAUGCCGCAUGGCAUAAGAGUGAAAGGCGCUUUCGGGUGUCGCUGAUGGAUGGACCCGCGGUGCAUUAGCUAGUUGGUGAGGUAACGGCUCACCAAGGCCACGAUGCAUAGCCGACCUGAGAGGGUGAUCGGCCACACUGGGACUGAGACACGGCCCAGACUCCUACGGGAGGCAGCAGUAGGGAAUCUUCGGCAAUGGACGAAAGUCUGACCGAGCAACGCCGCGUGAGUGAAGAAGGUUUUCGGAUCGUAAAACUCUGUUGUUAGAGAAGAACAAGGACGUUAGUAACUGAACGUCCCCUGACGGUAUCUAACCAGAAAGCCACGGCUAACUACGUGCCAGCAGCCGCGGUAAUACGUAGGUGGCAAGCGUUGUCCGGAUUUAUUGGGCGUAAAGCGAGCGCAGGCGGUUUCUUAAGUCUGAUGUGAAAGCCCCCGGCUCAACCGGGGAGGGUCAUUGGAAACUGGGAGACUUGAGUGCAGAAGAGGAGAGUGGAAUUCCAUGUGUAGCGGUGAAAUGCGUAGAUAUAUGGAGGAACACCAGUGGCGAAGGCGGCUCUCUGGUCUGUAACUGACGCUGAGGCUCGAAAGCGUGGGGAGCAAACAGGAUUAGAUCCCCUGGUAGUCCACGCCGUAAACGAUGAGUGCUAAGUGUUGGAGGGUUUCCGCCCUUCAGUGCUGCAGCAAACGCAUUAAGCACUCCGCCUGGGGAGUACGACCGCAAGGUUGAAACUCAAAGGAAUUGACGGGGGCCCGCACAAGCGGUGGAGCAUGUGGUUUAAUUCGAAGCAACGCGAAGAACCUUACCAGGUCUUGACAUCCUUUGACCACUCUAGAGAUAGAGCUUUCCCUUCGGGGACAAAGUGACAGGUGGUGCAUGGUUGUCGUCAGCUCGUGUCGUGAGAUGUUGGGUUAAGUCCCGCAACGAGCGCAACCCUUAUUGUUAGUUGCCAUCAUUUAGUUGGGCACUCUAGCGAGACUGCCGGUGACAAACCGGAGGAAGGUGGGGAUGACGUCAAAUCAUCAUGCCCCUUAUGACCUGGGCUACACACGUGCUACAAUGGGAAGUACAACGAGUCGCUAGACCGCGAGGUCAUGCAAAUCUCUUAAAGCUUCUCUCAGUUCGGAUUGCAGGCUGCAACUCGCCUGCAUGAAGCCGGAAUCGCUAGUAAUCGCGGAUCAGCACGCCGCGGUGAAUACGUUCCCGGGCCUUGUACACACCGCCCGUCACACCACGAGAGUUUGUAACACCCGAAGUCGGUGAGGUAACCUUUUUGGAGCCAGCCGCCUAAGGUGGGAUAGAUGAUUGGGGUGAAGUCGUAACAAGGUAGCCGUAUCGGAAGGUGCGGCUGGAUCACCU
rnacentral:rRNA from 1 species